rnacentral:rRNA from 1 species
CAACUUUCAGCAACGGAUCUCUUGGCUCUCGCAUCGAUGAAGAACGCAGCGAAAUGCGAUAAGUAAUGUGAAUUGCAGAAUUCAGUGAAUCAUCGAAUCUUUGAACGCAUCUUGCGCUCCUUGGUAUUCCGAGGAGCAUGCCUGUUUGAGUGUCAUUAACAUCUCAACCACA